rnacentral:ncRNA from 21 species
GAGUUUUGAGGUGAGAACGGCCUCCUCACACGCCUGUCGAUCGAACGUUCAACAGGCAAAGUAGCUGGGAAACCAGCGAAGAGAUCUGGGUGUGGGCACCCCAGCAAAUCUA